rnacentral:tRNA from 1 species
AACCCUGAGGUGUUUAACAUGUCAGACUGCAAAUCUGAAGUCGGCUAGUUUGCCCGGGGUUUC